rnacentral:rRNA from 1 species
GGUUUCCGUAGGUGAACCUGCGGAAGGAUCAUUAUUGAAUAAACCUGAUGUGAUUGUUAGCUGGCUUUUCGAAGCAUGUGCUCGUCCGUCAUCUUUAUCUCUCCACCUGUGCACAUUUUGUAGUCUUGGAUACCUCUCGAGGAAACUCGGAUUUUAGGAUCGCUGUGCUGUACAAGUCGGCUUUUCUUUCAUUUCCAAGACUAUGUUUUUAUAUAUACACCAAAGUAUGUUUAUAGAAUGUCAUCAAUGGGAACUUGUUUCCUAUAAAAUUAUACAACUUUCAGCAACGGAUCUCUUGGCUCUCGCAUCGAUGAAGAACGCAGCGAAAUGCGAUAAGUAAUGUGAAUUGCAGAAUUCAGUGAAUCAUCGAAUCUUUGAACGCACCUUGCGCUCCUUGGUAUUCCGAGGAGCAUGCCUGUUUGAGUGUCAUUAAAUUCUCAACCUUCCAACUUUUAUUAGCUUGGUUAGGCUUGGAUGUGGGGGUUGCGGGCUUCAUUAAUGAGGUCGGCUCUCCUUAAAUGCAUUAGCGGAACUUUUGUGGACCGUCUAUUGGUGUGAUAAUUAUCUACGCCGUGGAUGUGAAGCAGCUUUAUGAAGUUCUGCUUCUAACCGUCCAUUGACUUGGACAAUUUUUGACAAUUUGACCUCAAAUCAGGUAGGACUACCC